rnacentral:rRNA from 1 species
GUGGGGAAUAUUGGGCAAUGGGCGAAAGCCUGACCCAGCAACGCCGCGUGAAGGAAGAAGGUUUUCAGAUCGUAAACUUCUAUCCUUGGUGAAGAUAAUGACGGUAGCCAAGAAGGAAGCCCCGGCUAACUACGUGCCAGCAGCCGCGGUAAUACGUAGGGGGCAAGCGUUGUCCGGAAUGAUUGGGCGUAAAGGGCGCGUAGGCGGCCCGGUAAGUCUGAAGUGAAAGUCCUGCUUUUAAGGUGGGAAUUGCUUUGGAUACUGUCGGGCUUGAGUGCAGGAGAGGUAAGCGGAAUUCCCGGUGUAGCGGUGAAAUGCGUAGAGAUCGGGAGGAACACCAGUGGCGAAGGCGGCUUACUGGACUGUAACUGACGCUGAGGCGCGAAAGUGUGGGGAGCAAACAGGAUUAGAAACCCGUGUAGUCC